GAUGAAGAACGUAGCGAAAUGCGAUACGUAAUGUGAAUUGCAGAAUUCAGUGAAUCAUCGAAUCUUUGAACGCAUAUUGCGCUCUUUGGUAUUCCGAAGAGCAUGCUUGUUUGAGUAUCAGUAAACACCUCAACCUCUUCUUGAUUUUUCAAAAGGAGGGUGGACUUGAGCUAUCCCAACAACCUUUACCGGUCGGCGGGCGGCUUGAAAUGCAGGUGCAGCUGGACUUUUAUCUGAGCUAAAAGCAUAUCUAUUUAGUCCUCGUCAAACAGGAUUAUUACUUUUGCUGCAGCUAACAUAAAGGAUAAUUGUCCUCUUUGCUGACUGAUGCAGGAUUUUACGACACUUUAUGUGUUGUUCAACUCGAUCUCAAAUCAAGUAAGACUACCCGCUGAACUUAAGCAUAUCAAAGCGGAGGA
rnacentral:misc_RNA from 1 species